rnacentral:lncRNA from 1 species
UCCACCCGGCCGCCGCCCCUGCCACCCCGCCGCAUCCCAAAAGGCGCCGCGCCAGAGAAGAGAAGAGAAGGGUAUGGGAGAGAAGAGAGGGGAGAGGGCAGAAAGAAAUCACAACCGGAGCUGAGGCAGCAUCUCCCACAAAAAUAGGGCGGAGUGGGCCAGAACCGCGGGGAUUAAUAACAAAAGGGAAUCUUUAAGAUAUCCCCAAAGGAAAGAGGCGAGGGAAGGGAAGGGAAAGGGGGAGGAAGGAGGGAGCAUUGCAACCUGGCACAGCUGCGAGCUCGUCACAAGGCGCGCGCGCACAUCCCUUUGCCUUUCCCUUCCCCUUCCCGCAAAGGAAGAAGCAGGCAGGCAGGCAUGAUGGGGCGCGCGCGCCAUGGAUCAUAUGAGCCACAGCGCGGCGGCAAGCACACAUGCGGUGUCGCGCGUACGUACUACAAGGCAUGACAUCCACAUCCACAUCCACAUCCACAUCAGGGCAUGGGGGGGCGCUCACUCCAGCGUAGCGCCCCCAUUGAAUGCAAGCGAGCAGGCAGGCAGGCGAGCAACGGAAAGAAGGAAAGGGAACGAGGGGGGAAAUGUUUUUUUAAUAAUGAAUGAAAGGG